CCUACGGGUGGCAGCAGUAGGGAAUAUUGCUCAAUGGGGGAAACCCUGAAGCAGCAACGCCGCGUGGAGGAUGAAGGUUUUCGGAUUGUAAACUCCUUUUGUUAGAGAAGAUAAUGACGGUAUCUAACGAAUAAGCACCGGCUAACUCCGUGACAGAAGCCGCGGUAAUACGGAGGGUGCAAGCGUUAUUCGGAAUCACUGGGCGUAAAGGGCGCGUAGGCGGGAUAGCAAGUCAGAUGUGAAAUCCUAUGGCUUAACCAUAGAACUGCAUUUGAAACUGUUAGUCUAGAGUAUGGGAGAGGUAGGUGGAAUGCUUGGUGUAGGGGUAAAAUCCGUAGAGAUCGAGAGGAAUACUCAUUGCGAAGGCGACCUGCUAGAACAUAACUGACGCUGAUGCGCGAAAGCGUGGGGAGCAAACAGGAUUAGAUACCCCUGUAGUC
rnacentral:rRNA from 1 species